rnacentral:rRNA from 1 species
CCUACGGGAGGCAGCAGUGAGGAAUAUUGGUCAAUGGACGAGAGUCUGAACCAGCCAAGUAGCGUGAAGGAUGACUGCCCUAUGGGUUGUAAACUUCUUUUAUAUGGGAAUAAAAUGUUCCACGUGUGGGAUUUUGUAUGUACCAUAUGAAUAAGGAUCGGCUAACUCCGUGCCAGCAGCCGAGGUAAUCCGGAGGAUCCGAGCGUUAUCCGGAUUUAUUGGGUUGAACGGGAGCGUAGGUGGAUUGUUAAGUCAGUUGUGAAAGUCUGCGGCUCAACCGUAAAAUUGCAGUUGAAACUGGCAGGCUUGAGUACAGUAGAGGUGGGCGGAAUUCGUGGUGUAGCGGUGAAAUGCUUAGAGAUCACGAAGAACUCCGAUUGCGAAGGCAGCUCACUGGACUGCAACUGACACUGAGGCUCGAAAGUGUGGGUAUCAAACAGGAUUAGAUACCCUUGUAGUC